UUAGUGGCGGACGGGUGAGUAACGCGUGGGUAACCUGCCUUACACAGGGGGAUAACACUUAGAAAUAGGUGCUAAAACCGCAUAAGCGCACAGCUUCGCAUGAAGCGGUGUGAAAAACUCCGGUGGUGUAAGAUGGACCCGCGUCUGAUUAGCUGGUUGGCAGGGUAAAGGCCUACCAAGGCGACGAUCAGUAGCCGGCCUGAGAGGGUGAACGGCCACCAUUGGGACUGAGACACGGCCCAGACUCCUACGGAAGGCAGCAG
rnacentral:rRNA from 1 species